GGGAUUAGGUGGCCAACGGGUGAGUAACACGUGAGUAACCUGCCCUUGACUCUGGGAUAAGCCUGGGAAACUGGGUCUAAUACCGGAUAUGACUCCUCAUCGCAUGGUGGGGGGUGGAAAGCUUUUGCGGUUUUGGAUGGACUCGCGGCCUAUCAGCUUGUUGGUGAGGUAAUGGCUCACCAAGGCGACGACGGGUAGCCGGCCUGAGAGGGUGACCGGCCACACUGGGACUGAGACACGGCCCAGACUCCUACGGGAGGCAGCAGUGGGGAAUAUUGCACAAUGGGCGGAAGCCUGAUGCAGCGACGCCGCGUGAGGGAUGACGGCCUUCGGGUUGUAAACCUCUUUCAGUAGGGAAGAAGCGAGAGUGACGGUACCUGCAGAAGAAGCGCCGGCUAACUACGUGCCAGCAGCCGCGGUAAUACGUAGGGCGCAAGCGUUAUCCGGAAUUAUUGGGCGUAAAGAGCUCGUAGGCGGUUUGUCGCGUCUGCCGUGAAAGUCCGGGGCUCAACUCCGGAUCUGCGGUGGGUACGGGCAGACUAGAGUGAUGUAGGGGAGACUGGAAUUCCUGGUGUAGCGGUGAAAUGCGCAGAUAUCAGGAGGAACACCGAUGGCGAAGGCAGGUCUCUGGGCAUUAACUGACGCUGAGGAGCGAAAGCAUGGGGAGCGAACAGGAUUAGAUACCCUGGUAGUCCAUGCCGUAAACGUUGGGCACUAGGUGUGGGGGACAUUCCACGUUUUCCGCGCCGUAGCUAACGCAUUAAGUGCCCCGCCUGGGGAGUACGGCCGCAAGGCUAAAACUCAAAGGAAUUGACGGGGGCCCGCACAUGCGGCGGAGCAUGCGGAUUAGUUCGAUGCAACGCGAAGAAGCUUACCAAGGCUUGACAUGGACCGGAUCGCCACACAAAUGUGGUUUCUCCUUUUGUGGCCGGUUCACAGGUGGUGCAUCGCUGUCGUCCGCCCCUGGCCCGGAAAGGAGGGUUAAGUCCCGCAACGAGCGCAACCCUCGUUCCAUGUUGCCAGCACGUAGUGGUGGGGACUCAUGGGAGACUGCCGGGGUCAACUCGGAGGAAGGUGGGGACGACGUCAAAUCAUCAUGCCCCUUAUGUCUUGGGCUUCACGCAUGCUACAAUGGCCGGUACAAAGGGUUGCGAUACUGUGAGGUGGAGCUAAUCCCAAAAAGCCGGUCUCAGUUCGGAUUGGGGUCUGCAACUCGACCCCAUGAAGUCGGAGUCGCUAGUAAUCGCAGAUCAGCAACGCUGCGGUGAAUACGUUCCCGGGCCUUGUACACACCGCCCGUCAAGUCACGAAAGUUGGUAACACCCGUUAGC
rnacentral:rRNA from 1 species